AACUGCUGUAUUCCUCCUCCUCCUCAGAGCCACCAUGGUUCCUCGGAGACUCCAUGGCUUUGAAAGCAAAGCAAAGAAGAAAGCAAACCCAAGUAUCAAGAAAAGCCGGAGCCUAUAGGAAGCCUCAUAUAAUUGAAGAGAAGGAGUAAGUUUCACCACAUGGCAACCCUAGCACCAUAGUUUUCACUCAAUUGAAGCACUACCAGACAAAGCUCAUUGCAGAUAUAUAUGAAGGGAAGGAAGGUUAGUGCCUUCUUCAUUAUAAAGUACACUCUCUCAUAUAGAAUUAAAAGCCUAUGCUCUUCUUUUUCAACACAGAAAUUAAUAUAUUUAUAUGACUAAAACCUUUCUUUAAACAAAUAUAUUGGUUCCCUAACAAACCGUAAUCUAGUCUUAGAGUCAGGACACAUCAGUAUCCACAUAACAAGCAUCAUCCUUCUGAGCUCUGUCAUUAGUGAUGUGUAACCAAAGCUCAUAGGUUGUAUUACUUGUCCUUUCUGUGCUCUUCUUAAUUGAUAAUAAUCAUAUGGUUUGUGAAUUUUUUUUUAACUUCUCUGUACUCUCCCUCUCUCUCUCUCUUCUCUCUAUGUAUUCACUGGCUAUAUCUUAAAUAGAAAAGAUCAGCUUUUGAGGUGGAAAUCAGAAGAGACCCACCUCAACAAACAAGAAGGAAUAAAAGAAGCAUUUACUUAAUUAGCCUUUGCUUCCCUCUCUGUGUAUUGAAAAGGUGAUACCCAACUGGAUUUUCUUUGUCAUUUUUGUUUUAAAAGAUAAGGACAAAACAAAAAGAAGUAAAACAACUGUCACAAACCCAAAAAUAAAAUAUAAAGACAGGAUUUUACAAUUACAAGAAUAAGUUGUCUUCAUUGCGUUUCCUGUUUCUCUGGCGUCACCUUAAAAUGUUCUUUCAAUGGAGGAGGGCCUCUUGGUGACAGCUUGCAAAUCAAAGUGCAUGUGUGAGAGAGUUCCAUAUUACAAAAAGGGUUGUUUUGUUUUGACUUUUGACUCUUCUCUUUGAGUAAUGUAAACAUAUAUAUUUGUUUAGCUUUGACCUUUAACUUGAAGACUUGUUUGAGUCUCAUAAGUAAAAUAAAAACGUAUCUAAA